rnacentral:lncRNA from 1 species
UGAUCUCGAACUUCUUGGCUCAAGUGAUCUGCCUGCCUUCCAAAGUGCUGGGAUUACAGGCAUGAGCCACCAAGCGCAGCCAUGAUUUAUUAGAUCACUUCUAAAAGCCCUCUCUCCAUCUCCAAGCCAGCAAGUGCUUCUUUGCACCCCAGCUCUAAAACAAAGCCCUUGGGGACACAAUCAAAGACAGUAGUUGCCAAGAGGAAUAGGGAGCAUGGAAAGAAGGUGCUGGAUGUGCAUACAGCUAACCUGGUAACUCCAAACUGGAUGAGCUCAUUCCUUGAGACUGGAAUUACAAAAUUGGAACAGCUCACUAAUAAUUGAAGAUGAUUUGGGAAAACCAUUAUCCUUCCUCAGAACCUGUGACAAAUGAAAAUGGUUUUCCUAGAUAAGAACGAAACUGUGUUGGGUGGCUAACAAGAUUGAAACUCAUCUGACUUUGAGAAAUAAAUCAAUUUGGUUUGUUUAUUUACAAUCGUUAUUUUUCCUUUUACCAAUACCUAAGUUAUUUCACUGUAAAACUUUCAUAGAAGAAUUUCAGGAAAGGCUUGUAUUUACGUGUUAUAGAUGAGGUACACCACAGUGAUUUAGAUCAGCAGUCCCCAACCGUUUUGGCACCAGGGACCAGUUUCAUGGAAGACAAUUUUUCCACAGAUCAGGGGUGGGCAGAGUUUGGGGGAAUGGUUUCUGGAUGAUUCAAGCGGAUUACAUUUGUUGUGCACCAUAUUUCUAUUAUUAUUAUUGCAUUGUAAUAUGUAACAAAAUAGUUAUACAACUCCAUAAUGUAGACUCAGUGGGAGCCCUGAGCUUGUUUUCCUGCAACUAGACGGUCCCAUCUGAGGGUGAUGGGAGACAGUGACACCAAAGUGUGCUGCUUAUGUCCAGUCUACUUCGUAAUCUCAUUUUGAUUGCUGUCACUGCAGAAAACCCUGUAACAUUCUCAAAAUUCUAUUCUCUCUAGGGUAAAAUUAAACUGCGGGACAUAGCGCAGAAGACUUGUCACAAUUUAGGACCAACCUACCAAGACUUCUUGAUCUCUUUCCACUUCUUGCCCCUCACUGUGUUUGAUUUCUGCCUUCCAGUCUGAACUUCUCACUAUAUUCCAGAAAAGGCCUGUUAAAGAGAUCUGGUAGUCAAAAGCAACCUCUUUUUUGCUUGUGCUCUCUGUUAUACAUAAGAAACCAGUCCUGCUGCAGCUCCAUAUUUGCAUUACUAAUUUAAUCAGUUAGCGGGACACAUGCUCUUUAUAACCCAAAAAAUUGAAGCAUGAAAUUUGGGAGUCAUACCCAUCACCCAAAUGUGGCAUAACAAUGUUCUUCUUCCCCGCAAAGCAGUGUCCUUCCCCAAAGAAAUUCUGGGGAUUGGCAUUUUCUUCAUCCACUCCUUUCAUUAUUUCCUUUACCUAUUUCUCUGAGUCUAUUAGCAUCCUUGGAGGGGGGAAUGUAUCUUAUUUAUUGUUAUAUCUCCCAGGCUCACACAUCACUCAAUAAAGGUUUGUUGAAUGAAACAAUAAAUGGAUGCAAGACUAAAUGAACAAAGAAAAGCCACGGGGAAGAUAACAAUGUUAUGUCAUAAUUCAGGAUCAUCUUUUUCUGUUUUUUCCCCUCCAGCUUUAUUGAGGUAUAAUUGACAAAUAAAAAUUAUAUAUAUUCAAGGUGUCCAACAAGAUGUUUUGAUAUACAUAUACAUUGUGAAAUGAUUACCACAAUCAAACUAAUUAGCAUGUCCAUUACCUCACAUAAUUACCUUUUUUAUGUGUGCUGAGAAUACUUAAGAUUUGCUUUCUUAGCAAAUUUUAAGUAUACAAUACAUUAUGAUUAACUAUAGUCAUCAUACUUUACAGUAAGUCUCCAGAACUUACUUCAUCUGCAGGUUUGUACUCUGACCAACAUCAUCUUAUUUCACUCCCCACCCCACUUUCAGCACUGGUAACCACAUUUCUAUUCUAAGCCUUCUGGUGAAAUUUCUUUCUUAUUUCACUCCCAGUGAGUAACACAAGAGAAAAAUAAACAACAAAAGCCAGUCAAUAAUUAUAAAGUGAAUCUUACCAGUAUAGAGUUAUAAGCCUUGUUUUUACUUCACUGAUAAUGUUGUCGUGAACACUGUUUGAAUAAUGAAGACUAAAGGAAUGAUGGCAUGCACUGUGAGUUCUUGAUGUGGUUGAAGCAAAAUUCCCAACAAACAGACAUUUUGCUAUUUCAUUAGUGUUUAUGGCUGAUAAAUAC